UCAACUCAAUUCGAGAGGAUAACCUUUCAUUUGUUUUUCUUCUUUCUUUUUCUUCUUUUUCUCCUUCGUUCUUCACCUGCUGGUGAAUUGAGUAACUAAAUCAGAGAGUUCGUGACCAAAGAAAGUACGGUAAGAUCAAGUAUUGGUUGAUGGUAGUGGUGUUAGUUUGAUGCAGUUGAUUCUGAUUCGAGGAGAAGGGUGAUUCAGUUGGCAGAACUAGGGUUUUCUAGAAAUUAAAUUAAGAUUCGAAUUGAGUGGUGGUGUAGGAAGAAUUAGAUGGAAUCAGUGGAUGGGUUUAUUAUAUUGAAGUUGUUUAAGGAAGAAAUUGAAGAGAUGAUUGAGGAUUUGAGUAAACAGUGAACUGGGGUUUUUGUGAAAUCAAUUGGUGUUCGUUUUGGUGACGGUUAUGAAGAAAUUGAAGGAUGGGUUUUGAUCAGGUAUGAAAUAGAAAUGUUUCUGUGAAGUUUAAUCUUGAUUUGAAAGGAAAUUAGGUUUUGUGUUCUUCACAAAUUGAAAUUAGGGUUUCAUGAAUUUGAACUUGGAAGAGAUGAAUUUGAAGGUUUAGAAGAUCGAUUAGAGGUGAAUUUAACUCGAACUAAGAAUUAAGGUUGAAGUAUAACUUGAAUUUGUAAGUCAUGGUUUAGAAUUUGAAGUUGAGGUUCUUGUUAUGAAUCCAGGGUCUCAUGUUCUGUUUCAAAUGAAGAGUUAAGAUUCAUGGAUUGAAUAUUAGCUUAAGGAGUUGGAAUUUGUGAAGAGGAAUUAAAAGAGGAAGAUCCCUGAUUCAGAUUAAGGUAGAGAAGAAUUUGAUCCUAAACUGAUUGGGGGAGAAACCAUUUCAAGGUAAUCGUUCUUCUUAGUUCAGUUAGUAAUACUUGUAUAUUUUCAAUUCGAGUUAAUGGAUUAUGAGAUGUUGAUGAAGGUGUUGAAUUUAAAUUUGUUGAUAUACAGGGAGUUGUAUUGAUUUGUGGUUAACUGAACAAGAAAUUGUGUUGGUGAACUGUAUAAGUAUUGCAGGAGGAAUGAAUCCUAUUGUAUGGCUGAAGGUUAAGAUUGGAUUGUAGAUUGUUGAGUUUGAAUUACAAUUGCAGGAACGAGUGGAAUUUAUGAAGUUUGAGGUGGAGUAUAGAAUAAUGGUAAUGGUGGUGGUGGUUUUGUAAGUUACAGAGAAAAUGGAAGUGGUAGAAAUGAUGUUGGUGUUGUACUAGUGAUAAAAGAAUUGGAGUUGGAACUGUAAUUUGAAGUGUCGAUGUACACUGAAAUCUAGUGAACUGAGUAACUGGUUUUACUGAAGCAAGAAGCAUUGAGUGUAUGUGAUAGAUAUGGUGGAAGGCAGAAUUGUAAUGGGGGUAAUUCAGGCAUGAGAUGUGUAGUAGGGAAUAUCUUAUAGCUCCAGUGGAGGCUUGCUACUGCAAUUGCAGUUAGUCUAUAUUAACAACGAUCGAUUCAAAGGAUGAACCAGUGGAUCGUGGAUCUCUAGGUAGGCGUGGCUUGUCAUCAAAAUAGUUUCAGAGACAGAUCAGAGUUGCGCAGCGAAAGCUUCGAGGAGUUGACUCCGUUAAUUAGUUAACUUCUGUUAUGCGUAUUAUGCUAUUUAUUCUAUUUGCAAACAAAAUGACUAUUGUAUAUGUAUCAUUUAAGAGAAGUUCUUGUAUAUAUAUUUCUGAGAGGGAUUAGUUUUGGAUUAAGUUUUGUAGCAGAUUUUUAUUUGAAUGCUUAAGUAUAUGAUUUAGAUUUUUAGCGCCUCUUUGUUUAGCUAAUCUCUUGGAUUAGUCAGCUGCUAGCUUUGGGGGCGCUACAUUGUGAUUCCGCAAUAA